rnacentral:rRNA from 1 species
CCUUCGGGAGGCAGCAGUCAGGAAUAUUGCGCAAUGGAGGAAACUCUGACGCAGCGACGCCGCGUGGAGGAUGAAGGCCCUUGGGUUGUAAACUCCUGUCGGCUGGGAAGAAAUCGUUCGGGGCUAAUACCUCCGGACGUUGACUGUACCAGCAAAGGAAGCCCCGGCUAACUCUGUGCCAGCAGCCGCGGU